GACGAACGCUGGCGGCGUGCUUAACACAUGCAAGUCGAACGGUGAAGCGCCUUCCUUUUUGGUGGGUGUGGAUGAGUGGCGAACGGGUGAGUAACACGUGAGUAACCUGCCCCCUUCUUCUGGAUAACCGCAUGAAAGUGUGGCUAAUACGGGAUAUUCUGGGCCUGUCGCAUGAUGGGUCUGGGAAAGAUAUUGUUUCGGUGGGGGAUGGGCUCGCGGCCUAUCAGCUUGUUGGUGGGGUGAUGGCCUACCAAGGCGGUGACGGGUAGCCGGCCUGAGAGGGUGGACGGUCACACUGGGACUGAGACACGGCCCAGACUCCUACGGGAGGCAGCAGUGGGGAAUAUUGCACAAUGGGCGCAAGCCUGAUGCAGCGACGCCGCGUGAGGGAUGGAGGCCUUCGGGUUGGGAACCUCUUUCGCCAGUGAAGCAGGCCUGCCUCGUUUGUGGGUGGGUUGACGGUAGCUGGAUAAGAAGCGCCGGCUAACUACGU
rnacentral:rRNA from 1 species